ensembl:lncRNA
GAGCUCCUGCGUUCUCCUACCUCCAGGACCUUCUGCCUAGAACAGAUGUCGUUGUUGUUUAGUCGCUAAGUCGUGUCCGACUCUUUGCUACCCAGUGGACUGUAGCCCUGCCAGGCUCAUCUGUCCAUGGGAUUUCCCAGACAAGAAUACUGGAGUGAGUUUCCAUUUCCUUCUCCAGGGGAACUUCCUGAUCCAGGGAUCGAACCCCUGUCUCCUGCAUUGGCAGGCAGAUUCUUUACUAUUGAGCCACCAGGGAAGCCCAUCUAGAGCAGCACUCCCCUUGGUCUGGAUAACUGUGACCAUCUCCGGUCUCUAGCCCAAGCCACCCAGACCUCGCUGGUGCCCUUGCUCCUCCACUGAGCCCCUGACACGCUUUGCCAUCAUCUCUGUCUUUAUUUCUACUGAAGGGGGAUCACGCUGUAGGAGGCAAGGGUCUACUUUUGUUCCAUCCACACCCCCAGUACCUGAACGUGCCUGGCCCACAGCUGGGGCCCAACGCAAACUUGCUGAAUGAAUGAAUGAGCUAUAACCUAAAGAAGUCGGGAGUCUUGGGGAAGGCAGACAUGAAGAUGAGUAACCUGCAAAAGAAAAUGCAAGGGGUCUGAGAAAUCCAGAUAAUUCAGCUCAAGGUUGAAGGAGGGGCUGUAGGCAUUCUGUCCCCUCGCCCUCACCCUGGACGCCAUGGACAACCUCUGGGAGCUGGGACCUCAUCCGUGUGCUCCGAAGCUGAUCACAGAGGGAAGGAGGCGGGUUAGAAUCUGAAGGUGAUCAGAAACCGGACUGGGGAUGCAAGGAGCUUGGUGAUGCCGACCACCGGCUGGCCCCGCUGAGAACCUGAGGCACCCUCAGAGAAGAGAGACUUGAGGGGGCGAGAAGGCAAGGCAGGAACACAGAAAGAAAAAUAGGAUUGGGGAGAGGAAGGAGAGAGAGGAAAUUCUUGGGCACAGUCCUAAUCAUAGCCUUGAAAUGAAAUUUACUGCUGCACUCAGCAUGGGACGCCAGCCAGCGCCGCCAAACCAGCCCCCCUUCUGUUUGGAUUAGUCGAUGACAUCAUGGCCAUGGGCCAUCACUCCCAACACCAAAGGAAGAGCAGGAUGGCGGGCGGGAAACCUGAGCCUCCUGCCUCUGGCUUCCAGGGAGGGGAACCUGAAACCAGGAAAACUCAACCGCAACCCUCCCCUGCUGAGCUGGGCAGCCAGUCCCCCAGC